rnacentral:rRNA from 1 species
UAGUCCACGCUGUAAACGAUGAUUACUAGAUGUUCGGACUUCGGUCUGAGUGUCCAAGCGAAAGCGAUAAGUAAUCCACCUGGGGAGUACGUUCGCAAGAAUGAAACUCAAAGGAAUUGACGGGGGCCCGCACAAGCGGUGGAGCAUGUGGUUUAAUUCGAUGAUAUGCGAGGAACCUUACCUGGGCUACAAUGCCUCUGCUACACCCUGAAAGGGGUGGUUCCUUCGGGACAGAGUGCAAGGUGCUGCAUGGUUGUCGUCAGCUCGUGCCGUGAGGUGUUGGGUUAAGUCCCGCAACGAGCGCAACCCCUAUCGUUAGUUGCCAGCAAGUUAUGUUGGGGACUCUAACGAGACUGCCCGCGUAAGCGGAGAGGAAGGUGGGGACGACGUCAAAUCAUCAUGGCCUUUAUGCCCAGGGCUACACACGUGCUACAAUGGCCAGUACAAAGGGUUGCCAACCCGCAAGGGGGAGCCAAUCCCAGAAAGCUGGUCCCAGUUCGGAUUGGAGUCUGCAA